GCAAGUCGAGCGCCACCUUCGGGUGGAGCGGCGGACGGGUUAGUAACGCGUGGGAACGUACCCUUUUCUAAGGAAUAGCCUCGGGAAACUGAGAGUAAUACCUUAUACGCCCUUCGGGGGAAAGAUUUAUCGGAGAAGGAUCGGCCCGCGUUAGAUUAGUUAGUUGGUGGGGUAAUGGCCUACCAAGACUACGAUCUAUAGCUGGUUUGAGAGGAUGAUC
rnacentral:rRNA from 1 species